rnacentral:lncRNA from 1 species
CCUCUCCUCUCCUCUGUGAAGGGACUCAGCCAGGAGUGGGCCAGGGUCCUAAGUGGCCAAGGCUGUGACAGCACCUAACUGCAGAGCCAGGGGUGGGAUGAUCCCAGUGAGCGAGGCUGAGGAGCAGCUCGCAGGCCAGGAGGAAAGAGUGGUGGAGAUGGCUGGUAGGACCUGGACUUCGAGGGGCGCACCAGCUGGUGGCCAGCAAGGGCCUGCAGGAUCUGAACCAGCCAAAGGGCCCUGGGCGGCUUUGGCCACGCCCACGCGAAGCCACGCCCCAUGCCACGCCCCCAGCUGGUUGGGGAGAUGCUGGAGAUUGAACCCAGGGCUCGCACAAGCUGGGCUAGUGCGCCACCAACACCUCAGCUCAGUCCUUGCCCAGUUCCUAAGAGUCAGUUUCAAACCCAGAACCUGAUUGAAGAGACCUCAACAGCAGAAGGAAUCCUGACUGUGACCCCAGGGCUGCAGAAGCCCCAGGGUCUUGUGAGCUUGGAGGACUAGACGCAGAGGCUCUGGACUCUUUAUUACUCAGCAUUCCUCCACUGCGGUGAGCUUGGACAAAGUGCAGGGCCCCCAGCGCACUUGAGCGGGAACACUCAGAACAGGGUGUGUGCCCGCUGCACAGGGGCAGCUUUCCUGAUGUUAGAGGAGGCCCCUUACUGCACAACCUAGGGCGCUACUUGAUCCCCGCCCAGGCCUGGAGGCAAGGCAGUGGCCAGCUCCCCUCUCCUUGCCUCCUGGUUCUGUGCUUUGAGGUCCUCCUUAUCUCGCCCCCAGGAACAGCGGUUUUCUAGGCGCUGACAUGACCCCACACUAAGACCACCUGUGUCCCUCCCAUCUCUCCCCAGGAAGCUCUGCUCACUCCCUUGGGUAACUGGGCUCUGAGAAAAUGAAAAUACCCAAAUACAUUGAGCCUGGGUGGACACCGACUCCUACUGACACUGAUAACCUGAGACCAAAGCUUCUCAUUGUCCCCGCUUCUCUAGAGCAUCCAGGAGCCCUGAAGAAAGAGACUGGGCUUGGGCUGGAGCAGGUCUGCUGAGCCUGGUGCCUACUCAGGGCCCUUCCCCAGUUCCCAGAUGCACUUCAGAGUAGAGACCCUUGAAAGUGUUUUAUUAUAGCCAUUUGAAUCAGUAUGUGGUGGUAUCUCAAGGUGUUUUCAGUUUGCUUUUCCAAAUUG